rnacentral:rRNA from 1 species
GAUGAACGCUGGCGGCGUGCCUAAUACAUGCAAGUAGAACGCUGAAGGAGGAGCUUGCUCUUCUGGAUGAGUUGCGAACGGGUGAGUAACGCGUAGGUAACCUGCCUGGUAGCGGGGGAUAACUAUUGGAAACGAUAGCUAAUACCGCAUGACAACAGUUAUUGCAUGAUAACUGUUUAAAAGGGGCAACUGCUCCACUACCAGAUGGACCUGCGUUGUAUUAGCUAGUUGGUGAGGUAACGGCUCACCAAGGCGACGAUACAUAGCCGACCUGAGAGGGUGAUCGGCCACACUGGGACUGAGACACGGCCCAGACUCCUACGGGAGGCAGCAGUAGGGAAUCUUCGGCAAUGGACGGAAGUCUGACCGAGCAACGCCGCGGGAGUGAAGAAGGGUUUCGGAUCGUAAAGCUCUGUUGUAAGAGAAGAAUGAGUGUGAGAGUGGAAAGUUCACACUGUGACGGUAUCUUACCAGAAAGGGACGGCUAACUACGUG